CAAUAACGUAUAUUAAAGUUGUUGCAGUUAAAAAGCUCGUAGUUGGAUUUGUGGCGUACGGUGUGUUCCGGGCACUUGUUGUCUGAGUAACCUGCUGUUGCCAUCCUUGGGUGGAACCUGUGUGGCAUUAGGUUGUCGUGCAGGGGAUGCCCAUCAUUUACUGUGAAAAAAUUAGAGUGUUCAAAGCAGGCUUAUGCCGUUGAAUAUAUUAGCAUGGAAUAAUGAGAUAGGACUUUUUUGCUAUUUUGUUGGUUUGCGCAAGAAGGUAAUGAUUAAUAGGGACAGUUGGGGGUAUUCGUAUUCCAUUGUCAGAGGUGAAAUUCUUGGAUUUUUGGAAGACGAACUACUGCGAAAGCAUUUACCAAGGAUGUUUUCAUUAA
rnacentral:rRNA from 1 species